rnacentral:rRNA from 1 species
UACGGAAAAUGCAAGCGUUAUCCGGAUUCACUGGGUUUAAAGGAUGCGUAGGUGAGUUGGUAAGUCAGUGGUGUAAUCUCCAGGCUUAACUCGGAAACUGCCGUUGAUACUAUCAAUCUUGAAUAUUAUGGAGGUAAACGGAAUAUGUCAUGUAGCGGUGAAAUGCUUAGAUAUGACAUAGAACACCGAUAGCGAAGGCAGCUUACUACACAAUUAUUGACACUGAGGCACGAAAGCGUGGGGAUCAAACAGG